UACGUAGGGUGCAAGCGUUAUCCGGAAUUAUUGGGCGUAAAGAGCUCGUAGGCGGUUUGUCGCGUCUGCUGUGAAAACCCGAGGCUCAACCUCGGGCCUGCAGUGGGUACGGGCAGACUAGAGUGCGGUAGGGGAGAUUGGAAUUCCUGGUGUAGCGGUGGAAUGCGCAGAUAUCAGGAGGAACACCGAUGGCGAAGGCAGAUCUCUGGGCCGUAACUGACGCUGAGGAGCGAAAGGGUGGGGAGCAAACAGG
rnacentral:rRNA from 1 species